CAUCAUAGCCACACAUCAGAUGCCAAGUUCUUAUUAAAAGCGUGGUGAUCAUCCAGCAUGUGCAUGCAUCUAGCUUGUGUAUUUGGGCAUUCUGUAAUUAUAGCAUCUCUUGUAAUAAAUACCUGAAACCACUCAUAGAUUCAAAAGAUUAAAUCAUCACUUUUCAUGUAUUAGAUGGACAUAAUUGAGCAAGUUCUAUUGUGGGAACUGCCAUGCUAAUUUUUGUGAUUUUAUGCAUGGAUUUACAUAUUCAUGAAGAGAAUAGCUGUUAUGACUGCCGACAGAGCAACAUGAAAAGAAAAGAAACCAUUCUCCAGCAUACAGAGUAUACAAAAAUCUAGGGGGAAAACAUGCAGCAUAUGGCGACAAGAAGGAGAAGUUGUUUGGUUUUUCAGGGUGAUGUUGAUUUCCUAUUUAUAAAAUUUCCGAGUAGACGGCUUACAAAAAUAUGCCCCUCCAUCUCUACUGGGUACUGUAUCUCCACAGCUCACCCACAUUGCAGCAGAAGCCUGGGCCAGAAUACCUUCACAGACCAUUCCAAGAGGAAACAUUUCCGUGAUGAAUUUAUGGUUGAAGUUCUGGACAGGGCCAACAAGCAGGCCCAGUACCAGAAACAGAGGGACUAUGGCUAGAAGAACGGAUUUCAGCAUGGGAGAAGGCACUUGCUUCACAGUUCCUGGAAUAGGAACGGUGGCUAAGGGAGGAGGACAGCACUUAGCAGAAAAUGCUGUAUAAGUGGCUGAUACCAUGAAUGGCAGCAAGAGUACCAGCUUCUGUUGCGUCACCCACACCACAGCCUGAGUCCCUUAAGUAGUAGCUUGGAUGCAGUCCAGAAACAGCAUGGAAAAUUUCAUGGCUGGGUCACCCAUGCAAUCAUGCCCCAUGAACAGCUGGACAGGGCAAUUUUUCAUAUGUAUAAUAAUAAUUUAAUUAUUGUAUAAUAUGCAGCCCUCCAAAUUGAGCCCUGCCCUGUGGAUGCCUCUGCUCACACCAAGUGCAUGUGUGACACUGACAGACCAGUUAACCUGGGUAUGACCCAUAACAGCAUAGCAAGAGGCACUGAAAUGUAAUCAAGACAAUCUACUUAUAUGUGAAUUUCAAAGAGAUGUACUAGACCAGCAAUCAUUUACUCAUUUAUUUGUAGUAACAGAAAUCAAGGGUAGGUGCUAAAUGUAUUUGUCUCUGUUUACCUUUUGUCUUGUUAGAAGUUUAACUGUGUAACCAGCUUAGCUUGUAAAUGCUAAUUCCCUUUCAUGUCGUAACUGCCUUAUAUUAUGCAUGCAGAUGGUUCAGUUAAUCUUAAAAUAAAAAAAUAUUAGAUACUGCAGGAAACUAAUAAUAUUAUCUACCUUGUAUUCAGCUUAAUUAUCUAUUCUAUAAUGGCUAAUUCCCUUGUAUGAAUGAAUGCAACUAGGUUACCUGUGUAUGCAUAGGAAAUAGAUUAGCUUCAAAGCAAUUGUCCACGGACAAUCUGCACUGCCUAUUCUUCCUUGGGGGAAGGUCCUGCUGUAUCAAGAGGCUUGUCAGCUUGCUACAGAGCUAUAAAGGAAAUCUCCGGGCCUGAUCCUGCCAUCUCUAAUUUGCUUAAACUUUGAACAUGGAGUAAAGUAUAAGUGGUAAGAUGGAGAUCUUCCAAAUAAUUAUUUGGAAUAACCUGGAAGAUGCUUGGAAAGACUAACAGACUUUACAUCUAAACUGCCUUUGGAUUCUGACUGUUGGGAUGAUUCCAGAAAGACUUUCACAAGCCAGCAGUAUAUUGCAUCACUGCUGCGAUCCUGAACUGUGAACACUAAAAGUCACUUGUUUGCAUAUUUAUCUUUUAACUAUUUGCAACUCUCCUCUUUCUUAUUCUUUAUUAUUAAACCUAUAGUCUUAGUUAUUAAA